GUGUUUCUUUUUAAUCAUGCCUAGAAUGAAUAUAUUUUUUGAGUUUCAUUUUACUGUUUGUAUGAUGAUAUGAAACUUCUGAUUUCAAAAUUGCUUUCGCUUUUCCAUUUAUUGCACAAAGUAAGACUACAAGCUUUACCUUUCCAUGUUGCAACCCACAGUUGGCUUAUUGUUACUCUUCUUUUUCCUUCAAUUAUGCUUUGUUGAUUCACUAUUCUAGACCAUGAACAAAAACAUACUAUUGAUGGAAAUUGUACUAUUUAAGUGGAACCACACAAUUGUACACUCCAAACUCCUUUCCUUUCUUAGUUAAUAUUGUUAUUGUUACUAUUUUAUUGAUUUUAUGUCUUAUCACCUUGAAAUCAGUGGUAGGGUUGUGAAUGGUUAUGGUGGUGGCCGAAGCACACCUUUAGAUAAACAAGAACCCACAGUUGUUCAUCAAAAGCCAGGACCCCAUCAAACCAUAUUUGAUCUACUUCCAAAUGAGAUUGUGGAACAUAGUUAUUCAUGUGCACUUGAGAGGUCGUUCUUAUAUCAUGGCAUUCAACUUUAAGGCCCUUAGAGGUGGCUGCAUUACCUCAAAUCACACAGAACUAUCACAUACAAGAGUAAAGUUUCUCUGCUCUCGGUGUUACCAUUGUAAUUCGUCUUUGUCUAUGGGUCUGAGGGGCUGUGAGCAUGGUUUUCUCCAUUUGGUCAAGUGAAUACUUGGUGAUAAUUAAUGGAGAUCCAACUAGCUCUAAUGUGGUCCAAGAUUUUUAGAGAAAGUAAGUUCAAGACGAACUCAUGGAUGCUCAUGAUGAAUGUGAUGUGGAUUGAGCGAAGUUGUAGUUAGAUUAGAUUGUAACUUUUAGUUUACUGAACUUGGGAAAAUUAAUCUAUGCUCAUUGAUUGUAUACUUUGGAUGUUGAUAUAUAAUUUUGGUUAGUAAUCAUGUGUAAAUUUGCAGAUUUUAAUUUUUUUUUUUGUGUCAUGGAAAAGAUACAAUGACGUUUUUUCU